GGACACUGCAAGGGAUCAUGGAUCACGAUGGAACCCUAGGAAAUACAGUGAACAGACAAUAAGUAUGGCGACAUCAUGGCAGAGGAAAUGCCUUAACAUUCUUGGUUGC
rnacentral:lncRNA from 1 species